UGGGGAAUUUUGGACAAUGGGGGCAACCCUGAUCCAGCCAUGCCGCGUGAGUGACGAAGGCCUUAGGGUUGUAAAGCUCUUUCACCCGUGAAGAUGAUGACGGUACCGCCGGAAGAAGCCCCGGCUAACUCCGUGCCAGCAGCCGCGGUAAGACGGAGGGGGCAAGCGUUGUCCGGACUCACUGGGCGUAAAGGGCGCGCAGGCGGGACGGAGCGUCGGCGCUGAAAGCGCCCGGCUUAACCGGGCGAGGCGCGUCGAUACGACCGACCUCGAGGCAGGCAGAGGGUGGCGGAAUUCCGGGUGUAGUGGUGAAAUGCGUAGAGAUCCGGAGGAACGCCUGUGGCGCAAGCGGCCACCUGGGCCUGACCUGACGCUGAGGCGCGAAAGCGUGGGGAGCGAACCGGAUUAGAUACCCGCGUAGUCC
rnacentral:rRNA from 1 species